rnacentral:rRNA from 1 species
GUUGGUGGUCAUAGUGAGGUGGCAAUACCCGUUCCCGUUCCGAACACGGAAGUCAAGCACCUUUACGUCGAUGAUACUGCAAUCCGCGGGAAAGUAGACAGCUGCCAACU